GACGAACCGAGCGAACGUUGUUCGGAAUCACUGGGCUUAAAGGGCGCGUAGGCGGGCCGUCUAGUCCGUGGUGAAAUCCUCCGGCUCAACCGGAGAAGUGCCUCGGAUACUGGCGGCCUCGAGGGGGGUAGGGGCGUGCGGAACUUCCGGUGGAGCGGUGAAAUGCGUAGAUAUCGGAAGGAACACCGGUGGCGAAAGCGGCGCGCUGGACCCCAUCUGACGCUGAGGCGCGAAAGCCAGGGGAGCAAACGGG
rnacentral:rRNA from 1 species